rnacentral:rRNA from 1 species
GAGGAUGCGAGCGUUAUCCGGAUUUAUUGGGUUUAAAGGGUGCGUAGGCGGAACGCCAAGUCAGCGGUAAAAAUUCGGGGCUCAACCCCGUCGUGCCGUUGAAACUGGUGUCCUUGAGUGGGCGGGAAGUAUGCGGAAUGCGUGGUGUAGCGGUGAAAUGCAUAGAUAUCACGCAGAACUCCGAUUGCGAAGGCAGCAUACCGGCGCCCGACUGACGCUGAAGCACGAAAGCGUGGGUAGCGAA